AGUGAACGCUGGCGGUAGGCCUAACACAUGCAAGUCGAACGGCAGCACAGUAAGAGCUUGCUCUUACUGGUGGCGAGUGGCGGACGGGUGAGGAAUACAUCGGCAUCUACUUUUUCGUGGGGGAUAACGUAGGGAAACUUACGCUAAUACCGCAUAUGACCUACGGGUGAAAGCAGGGGAUCUUCGGACCUUGCGCGAUUGUACUAGCCGAUGUCGGAUUAUCUAGUUGGCGGGGUAAAGGCCCACCAAGGCCACGAUCCGUAGCUGGUCUGAGAGGAUGAUCAGCCACACUGGAACUGAGACACGGUCCAGACUCCUGCGGGAGGCAGCAGUAGGGAAUAUUGGACAAUGGGCGAAAGCCUGAUCCAGCCAUACCGCGUGAGUGAAGAAGGCCUUCGGGUUGUAAAGCCCUUUUGUUGGGAAAGAAAAGCAGCAGGUUAAUACCCCGCUGUUCUGACGGUACCCAAAGAAUAAGCACCGGCUAACUUCGUG
rnacentral:rRNA from 1 species